UAAUCUAAUAAUCUACUAGGUCAGAUAAUCUAAUAAUCUACUAGGUCAGAUAAUCUAAUAAUCUACUAGGUCAGAUAAUCUAAUAAUCUACUAGGUCAGAUAAUCUAAUAAUCUACUAGGUCAGAUAAUCUAUUAAUCUACUAGGUCAGAUAAUCUAAUCAGCACUGGCAUUUGUUAUGACUUGUGGACAAAAUGUCAUUAUCAUUUUUUUUCUCAGAAUGGAGUAAAUAAGUAUUUAGCUUUAAUUUAUGGCCUGUAGACUAGUUUUUAAGUGGAUUUUUAAAUGGAUUUAACCGUAAAUGUAUCUGUGUUCCUUGAGUUAUUUAUCAUGCUUUAUUAUUAGGGGCCAUCAACUCUAAGUGGCCACAUAGAUAGAAACUAUUCAAGAUGCCCUUUAACUGAGGCUUUUUAAUUUUGGCUUCUGUUAUCUGCCCUGCACUUUUGCUUGUCCAGUAUUCAUUUGUUGACCGCUGGACCAGAUUGGUACAGCAUUUUAAAUCAGUUUCCAAUGUCCUGGCGGGCAAAGGUUAUAUUCUCUAAGUUCGUUAAUUUUUUUCUUUUCCUUUUUGGAAUUCACAGUGUCACCUUUUCAGCUUCCAAUUAAGUUGUAAAUGAGAAAUCUGCAGCAGAUCACGUCUUUGCUAUUCAGAUUUAUUACCUUCACUUGGUCGUGACACUUUAGUCUUUGUCGGUGUUUCCCAACCCAACCCUCAUGGACCCCUAUGUCUGGCACGGAGCAGGACUUAAAUAGACUGGGUUAGGAUACUUGUAAGUUCACCAGUGUCUAAGAUAACAAGCUGCAUUUCCAUCCUGACCACUUCCAGCUUUCUGUUACUUUUCUGCUAUGGAAACGUUGGCAGUCUUAGCCGCGACAAGGUACCAUACCAUACGGACGAUUAUAUAUAUUUUUACAAAGGCAUAAAUGAAUAAUGUCCUUGCCUAAGUUCUUUACCUUGUCUUAAGUCCAAGCUGGACCAUGCUCUAUGCAAAUGGUUCCCUUUAUUAAAGAGCCUGGCACCACUUCUGUGCUGGGCAAAGCAAGGUGGCAUUAAUCCUGUGCUGUGAGUUGAAUAGCAUCUUAUUAACUGCACGCAUCUCCCUCCUCCCCUUCAAACUAAACCCGAGUCAGCAAUGCCCUUUUUUCUGGAGGAUGUCUUUGCCAGAACAUGCUGUUUGACCUUUUGGUUUUUGGGGAAAAUAGGGUUUAGUUGAAGAGAAUGAAACAUUCGCACGAGAAAAACAAUUUGUAAUUAAGCUACAGCUAGGGAAUGUUUUUGAUAUAUUGGGAUAUUGCCACCCCCGCGACCCUGUAGGACAAGCGGUUUGGAAAAUGGAUGGAUGGAUGGGAUAUUGCCACCCCCCGCGACCCAGUAGGACAAGCGGUUUGGAAGAUGGAUGGAUGGAUGGGAUAUUGCCACCGUAGCCUAAAUAAUAACAAUGAUAUAAAAUAAUCUAACAGGGUAGAUCGUCCCCUAAAAUGUACCUUGUAAUUUUUGUGUCUUAGCUGUUAUGACAGAACUAUGGAAUCACUGUUUU